CACCAACUACGUGAUUGGUUAUUCCAAAUAGCAAUAAGGAAAUUGUAUACCAAUUCUUGAUUGUGUGUGUUCUAGAUGAAUAUUGGAGGCUUACCUUUCAUGGCCUAAUCCUUGGCAUGAUAAUGAUGCAUCUAGCAAUGUGGUUUGUUUAUUGAUGUCUUUAGGAGCCAAUUGCAUUUAUGGGUGGGAUGUUUGCUGGACUACUAAGACUUGAUCUGAACGAAGAACCGCUUAAAGAAUGGGUGACGCGAACAGUUGAAGCCUCAGGUAUCACAGAAGAGGAAGUAGCUGAUGCAGAUGGAAUGGCCUCCAACGAAGAAGAAUCUCCUCAACAGAUAGAGAUUGAAUGAGGUCUUGAACCUUUACUCAUUACCGUUAUCUCACUUCAUACAGCAGUUGUGAUUGUGGUUACUGUCUGUACCAUCUCCAAGGAGAAAUGUAGCAGCUUGCUUUUUGUAUGUAUGUAACCGUAAAAACUAAAACGAGAGUUAAGCUUUCAAAAUAAACUCUUUUGUUUACAGUUUACACGUCGUCACUCUAUCACAGUACAGUUUCGUAGAUGAAAUUAUCCCUGCUGUUUUUGUCCGAACUGAUCAAGGCCAACCAAACUAAACCGAAACUUUCGGUUUUCGGUUCGGUUAUGAUCUUGAGUUUGGUUUAGUUCAGUAGGGUUUUGAAAAUUGGUUUGGUUUUACGUCUGCUUCUGUUUUUUAUUUAAAAAAAAAUAAAUAUAAUAAUCGAAAAGUAGUUGAAAUAACCGAACUAAAUUAACUUAACUGACCAAAAUAAUCGAAAUUACCCAGAAUAUCCCGAUUUUUAAGAAAGUUAUACCCAAUUCUAACCGGAAACAAAAAAAAAAGUUAUUUUUGAAAAUAAAAGUGAUUACCACAAUUAACCGAUAACCAAACCAAAAUAUAAUUCAGUAAAUUUUGGAAUUAUUUUUUAAAAAUUUUGGUUAACGGAAAAACAAAUCUUCGGUUUGGUUCGGUUCUGGAAAACCGAAAUCGCAAGGCUAUAUGAAACAAUUAUUAACCACAGAUACUUCGGUCAAGAACAACUAAGCGACGUCACUGUUAAAGCCACAUCGUUUUAAGUCAUCUGAUGAAUCUGCGCUCUUGCCAAGACAGAAGUGAGUUCUGUUCUGUCUCUUCCUUUUAUCAAUUCGCUGUGACUAUGGCCUCGCGUUUAUUAUCGACGACACUCAUCACACCGCCGGCAAAUCUCAACAAAUCGUCGUCGGGUCUAACGGCGAGAGUUAGGUUGAGAAAGGGAAGGCUUAGUAUCAGGGCAGUAAGCGGCAGCUCUCAAGGAGGUUCCGUAGAUGGAACCGUGUACAAAGGCGUUUAUGGUCCCUGGACCGUUGAGCAGUCUGAUGUCAAAGAGGUGCGUCUCUUCCAUACGAGUUAUACUUCAAUUGGGUUCCUUAAAAGUUAAUAUAUUGGAUGGUUGGAACAUGCAAGUUGAAUCCUUUAUCACAGUUUUUAACUUUUUAAGUCUAAUUUGUUCAUGCAACUCAGGAAAGAUAGAGUUUUUAUUAGCUUUAUGUUGAAAAAAUUUGCUUCUUGAACUUUGAAGUUAAGCCUAUCUAGUACCUCUUCCUCUUCAGGUUAUUUUGUACAGAUCAGGACUGGUAACUGCUGCUGCUUCCUUUGUAGCCGCUUCUUCUGCCGCCUUUUUACCGGAGAACUCAUGGUUAAGUGAAAUAAUCAAGCAAAACCAGGACUUGUUCUACCUUGUUGGUGCUGGUGGUUUGGGGCUAUCUCUGUUUCUGAUUCAUAUAUAUGUAACGGAGAUCAAGAAGACGCUUCAGGCUUUAUGGGCACUUGGUGUUGUUGGUUCUUUAGCCGCGUACGCUUCCCUUGCUAGACCAGCUAGUGAUAGCUUGGUUCAGUAUGUCGUUGAUAAUCCAACUGCUGUUUGGUUUGUUGGUCCUCUUUUCGCUUCCCUCACUGGGCUCGUUUUCAAAGAAGGUAGUUCGAGGAUGUGGUUUACUAAUGUAUAUCAAGCUUCAUAGUUCAUGCUAAUGUUCUUGAUUUUUUUUUUUUUUUUUUUUUUUUUUUUGGAGGCUCUCAAGGUACUCUUAUCCCACUUAAAGCUAGUGACUUUCAUUCGAUUUGAGCUGCAGAUUAGUACACCAACUACGUGAUUGGUUAUUCCAAAUAGCAAUAAGGAAAUUGUAUACCAAUUCUUGAUUGUGUGUGUUCUAGAUGAAUAUUGGAGGCUUACCUUUCAUGGCCUAAUCCUUGGCAUGAUAAUGAUGCAUCUAGCAAUGUGGUUUGUUUAUUGAUGUCUUUAGGAGCCAAUUGCAUUUAUGGGUGGGAUGUUUGCUGGACUACUAAGACUUGAUCUGAACGAAGAACCGCUUAAAGAAUGGGUGACGCGAACAGUUGAAGCCUCAGGUAUCACAGAAGAGGAAGUAGCUGAUGCAGAUGGAAUGGCCUCCAACGAAGAAGAAUCUCCUCAACAGAUAGAGAUUGAAUGAGGUCUUGAACCUUUACUCAUUACCGUUAUCUCACUUCAUACAGCAGUUGUGAUUGUGGUUACUGUCUGUACCAUCUCCAAGGAGAAAUGUAGCAGCUUGCUUUUUGUAUGUAUGUAACCGUAAAAACUAAAACGAGAGUUAAGCUUUCAAAAUAAACUCUUUUGUUUACAGUUUACACGUCGUCACUCUAUCACAG
rnacentral:lncRNA from 1 species